rnacentral:tRNA from 1 species
AGUGCUUCUUUUUUUUUUGGAACUAAGAAUGAUGCUCUUAAAAAGUAGAAUAAUCUACCCUA